GGGGGGGGCGGGUAAGGGGGAAAGGGUGAAAAACCUUAGUAAAGCAUAAACAAACCAAGAAAUUAAGAGAAACCCAAAAGAAUACAUAGUUCAUAUACCGUUUUAUAUGAAUGUGUGCAACACUUAUUAACCAUGGUGAAAGGCUAAUUGUGCCCUCCGGUCACUACAUGCACAGCCUGAUCGAUGCUGUUAAUGAAUUACCUGUGUUAACUUACAAUGCAACUACAGCGUGACCAAGAGCGCGCCGUCCUGGCCCGGGGGUCGGCUCUGGGCGCACGGCGGUGCUUCACAGGAUGGUACACUACGCAUGGGACAGGUCGGGAGGUGGGGGGGCGAGUGUGCGCGCGCGCACGUGCUUGCUUGUGGGGGUGUGCGCGCGUGCGUGCGAGAGACAGUGUGUGCUAUAACAUUCGUGUCAGUCUUUCUUGAACGCUGCAGUUCCUGAUCCUGGGACAGGCGCUGGGCUUCACGCUUCCGAAAGACUGGAGGAAGGGACAAAAGGCAAGAGGCGGGUCGGUAUGUGUGCCAGCAGCAGGUAUCGUGCCCUCUCCUUUCAAGAAGGAAGCUGAAGUGGCAAGACAUUCAAUGAGACUGCCUGAUCUCCAGCCAGCACAACCACCCCAAGAGCAGUAUGGCACAAGUGGUAGGUGUCAGACCACAUCUCACCAUGACUGUGCUAGGCACCUCCAAAGGGCAUGGAGUCAUCAAUCUGAAUCUCUACAAUCUGAAGCUCCAACACGCAAACGCCAAUUUCGGCACCAAGUAACAAGGAUGAUACUGCCUUGGUUGUAACUGGACUUGGGUCACAGGUAACACUACCUGAACAACCUCCAGUACAAAUCUCAGCUACUAGGUUUUGGGGGCUAUAUUUUCACAGAUGCUGAGAGAGAUGUGGGUGCCAAAAACCCUCCACUGUUUUGACAAUUUCACUUGAUAGCAAGAAGACAUUUCAGCCACAUUGUUGCCUUUUCUACUUCAUGUCUGUAGACAGAUGUUCCAGCAGAAAACUUCGUAGCUAGAGUGCUCAAGGCUUGCCUGUGACCAGUGAUGCCAACAAUCUGUUGUUGCAGACAGUGUGACACUGCAAAGUCUCACAUUGCCACAGAGUGUCCCUUUUGAUGACGGACCUUGGUGUCAUUUGCACUCAGAAGGUUUGGGGAAGGCCAGAGAAGGUCUGGCUGCCCUCCAAAGGACAAUGCAGUAACAAUAGGCACGAUGGUCAGACUGACGGAAUAUGCAGCUGGAAACCAAUAAUACUAAGCUGCUGGUAGAUCCUACACCUUCUCUUUGCAACAUUAUCCAGCGACUGAUCCAGAGGUGGUUUUGUUGUACUCGAUCCCAUGUUUGCAGCCUGAAAGUCUUGUUGCAGAAGACAUCUCCCAGCUAACCUCAAUCACGGAUUCCUCUCUUCCAUGCAGGCUGCAACUCUCUAAUACGUAGCUGGCAAAGUUUCACAGCACUUGCAAGCACAUGAUAAUGUUUUGGUGUAACCAAGUCUCUUGUAAGAUGAGUGACAGGCUACACAUGAAUGCACGAACGUCUUUCUGAUCUCUGGUCUGCUCAUUAACUCUUGGCCCUGAUUAUAUAUGAUUGUUUAUGCACUUAAGUCAUUACAGUACCAUAAUAUUCAACUUCUGUAUUUUAAAACAAUGGGGUGCAUAUCAAGCUAUUGCAUACGUUGAUUUUAUAAGGCACUUUUAGCUAUCAAAUAUCUUAGAAGUACUUUGAACACAUUUAUAAAAGUGUGUAUUUUACAAUGUGUGUCUUCUUCCUCUCUUUUUUGUUUUCU
rnacentral:lncRNA from 1 species